rnacentral:rRNA from 1 species
GUGAGUCAUCGAAUCUUUGAACGCACCUUGCGCUCCUUGGUAUUCCGAGGAGCAUGCCUGUUUGAGUGUCAUUAAUAUAUCAACCUUCUCUUGUUGAGUGGUUGGAUGUGGGGUUUGCUGGCCUCUUAAAAAAGGCUUUGGCUCUCCUGAAAUACAUUAGCAGAACAACCCUGUUCAUUGGUGUGAUAACUAUCUACGCUAUUGAAUGUGAAGGGCAGUUUGGCUUUCUAACAGUCCUCGGACAGCUCAUCAUUAAUGUGACCUCAAAUCAGGUAGGACUACCCGCUGAACUUAAGCAUAUCAAUAAGCGGAGG